rnacentral:rRNA from 1 species
CCCAGGUCAGGCGGGGCUACCCGCUGAAUUUAAGCAUAUCAUAAGCCCGGAAGGA